UGCAGGAUAUUUGAAAUGUAAAUUUUCCUC
rnacentral:piRNA from 1 species